GACGAACGCUGGCGGCGUGCUUAACACAUGCAAGUCGAACGGAAAGGCCCUGCUUUUGUGGGGUGCUCGAGUGGCGAACGGGUGAGUAACACGUGAGUAACCUGCCCUUGACUUUGGGAUAGCUUCAGGAAACUGGGGCUAAUACCGGAUAGGAGCUCCUGCUGCAUGGUGGGGGUUGGAAAGUUUCGGCGGUUGGGGAUGGACUCGCGGCUUAUCAGCUUGUUGGUGGGGUAGUGGCUUACCAAGGCUUUGACGGGUAGCCGGCCUGAGAGGGUGACCGGCCACAUUGGGACUGAGAUACGGCCCAGACUCCUACGGGAGGCAGCAGUGGGGAAUAUUGCACAAUGGGCGGAAGCCUGAUGCAGCAACGCCGCGUGCGGGAGGACGGCCUUCGGGUGGGAAACCGCUUUCGCCUGUGACGAAGCGUGAGUGACGGUAAUGGGUAAAGAAGCACCGGCUAACUACGU
rnacentral:rRNA from 1 species